rfam:Pteropus alecto contig42969, whole genome shotgun sequence.
GGCUCCAUAGUGUAGUGGUUAGCACAUCUGCUUUGCAAGCAGAAGGUCCUGGGUUUGCACCCCAGGUGGAGCCA